rnacentral:rRNA from 1 species
CCUACGGGAGGCAGCAGUGGGGAAUUUUGCGCAAUGGGGGGAACCUUGACGCAGCGACGCCGCGUGGGUGAUGAAUGCCUUCGGGUUGUAAAGCCCUGUUGGGGGGGAAGAUAAUGACGGUACCCCCUGAGGAAGCCCCGGCUAACUACGUGCCAGCAGCCGCGGUAAGACGUAGGGGGCGAGCGUUGUCCGGAAUUACUGGGCGUAGAGGGCGUGUAGGCGGCUUUUCAAGUCGGCUGUGAAAUUCCCCGGCUUAACCGGGGGGGUGCAGUCGAAACUGAUUGGCUUGAGUGCAGGAGAGGGUGGUGGAAUUCCCGGUGUAGCGGUGACAUGCGUAGAUAUCGGGAGGAACACCGGUGGCGAAGGCGACCUCCUGGUCUGUUACUGACGCUGAGGCGCGAAAGCCGGGGGAGCAAACAGGAUUAGAUACCCUGGUAGUCCCGGCCGUAAACUCUGGGUACUAGGUGUAGGGGGCUUCGAUGCCUUCUGUGCCGUAGUUAACGCAUUAAGUACCCCGCCUGGGGAGUACGAUCGCAAGGUUGAAACUCAAAUGAAUUGACGG